GGUAGCCUCUAUGAGAACAAUUAGUGGCAGACGGGUGAGUAAUGCAUAGGAAUCUACCUAGUAGUAUAGGAUAGCCACUAGAAAUGGUGGGUAAUACUGUAUAAUCCCUGCGGGGGAAAGAUUUAUCGCUACAUGAUGAGCCUAUGUUAGAUUAGCUAGUUGGUGGGGUAAUGGCCUACCAAGGCAGUGAUCUAUAGCUGGUCUGAGAGGAUGAUCAGCCACACUGGAACUGAGACACGGUCCAGACUCCUACGGGAGGCAGCAGUGGGGAAUAUUGGACAAUGGGCGCAAGCCUGAUCCAGCUAUGCCGCGUGAGUGAGGAAGGCCUUAGGGUUGUAAAACUCUUUCAGUGGGGAAGAUAAUGACGGUACCCACAGAAGAAGUCCCGGCAAACUCCGUGCCAGCAGCCGCGGUAAUACGGAGGGGGCAAGCGUUGUUCGGAAUUAUUGGGCGUAAAGGGCAUGUAGGUGGUUUGGUAAGUUAAAGGUGAAAUGCCAGGGCUUAACCCUGGAGCUGCUUUUAAUACUGCCAGACUGGAGUCCCGGGGAGAAGA
rnacentral:rRNA from 1 species